CCAGGAGGUUCCUCAGGUUGUCGUCGUCGAACGGCAGCGCGCCCUGAGAGGAAGACACCAUGAURAUGAUGAUGAAGAACAGGAAAUGCAUCGUCGGCUGCGGUUUCAGUGAGAAACAUUCAUCACUCCACAUUCUGAAAAACUGCCUGGAAAGAGGAAAUAAAACAAGACGACUAAUCGAGCUGCACUGCAAAAACACGAAAUAUUGGCAAGUAAUUCUGGUCAAGUUUCUGCUGCAAAUGUCUUAGUUCACUUAAAGUCAGACUGAACCAACUUACAGGUAACUUUUCAUCAAGACGUAGGAUAAAUAAUUCCUCAGUAUUGAUUAAAAGGCUCUCGUUGCCCAGACAGAUUAUUUUACUUAUAAAACGUGAAUAAGUGAAUUAAUCUUGGUGAGAUUUUGUGUUUUUUCAGUGUGUAACUGAUCCUGUAGCAGAUCUCAAACAGCUGCAAAAACAAUUCAUCUGCUGAUAAAUAUUUCUACUUAAAUGCGACAAACGGCAUUAAAAUGUUGUAUUUUCCGACAGGUCGGUUCUGCAGAACCUCCGUCUGGUCCUCAGAACCAGCGAAGCGGAGAGCCCGGUUCCCCCAGCAGUGUGUGAACACACACACACUUCAUCUCCGCUGAUGACAUUCCUAAUUAUGUAAAUGGAGGUGAAGCAGGUCGACCGCAACACGCCGAGCGCCGUCAGAUCACAGCUUCCUGUCGGACUCGGCUCGUUUGGGUUUCAUUAACGGCGCUUGGUGGAGCCGAUCUGACCCGAACCCGUCGGAGCGCGGAGGAGGAGGAGAUCAGAACCGGAUCGGAGAAAGUUUCAGUCGCUGCAGGAGGACAACAAACAUGGCUGCUGCUGAUCUGCAGCUGCUGCUGAUCUGCAGAAACCAGUUUUAACAGCUGAAAAUUAACCAAAGACUCACUGAGACCCUCUAGUGGCCAAACUCAGAAUAUGAGAGAUUACGUUCCACAAACGGAUCGAUGAAAGGAUCGAUCAGUUUUCCGAGACAAAUUACUCAAAUCUGAUUGUUUUCCCCUCUUUAUUCACCAAAACCGAGGAAUCAGGCUGAAUUUACUCGGGUAAGAACUUCAGUUUUUCAUUUAGAGAUCUGCUGCUGAUCCCUGUAAAUCAAUCAAUCAAUCAAUCAAUCAAUCAAUCAAUCAAUCAAUCAAUCAAUCAGCAGCCCCUUUAAAUGUUGCUCUUACAUGGUUUUACACACAAUGAUCAGCUGCAGCAGAGAUUUGUACUUGAGUUUUCUGACUUUCCUCCACAUGUAGCGUUAGCAUAACAUGACGUUUUGAAGCCAAACAUGCUAUGCUAACGCUAAGUUCAGACUUUUUUUGGGCUCUGAAUCAUUUUCCAACAGAUAAGACGAGGCUGAGAAAAUUGAGACUUUCGGCUGCUUCCAUCCACUAAAGCUUUGUUUUAAACAAGCAUUCGGGUGAUGAGGUUGGGAGUUUAUCUGCUUCAAUGCUAACAGAAGCAUUGCUAACAGAAGAAGUGCUUUUAAAUCCCAGCUGAAGUGCUAGUCUGAUAGGUCUCAGCAUUUCUCUUUGCAUUUCCUCCUCAGUGGAUAAUUUAUCAAACAAAUCAAAUAAAAAAAACUAAAUC